AGAGUUUGAUCCUGGCUCAGGAUGAACGCUAGCGACAGGCUUAACACAUGCAAGUCGAGGGGCAGCACAGGUAGCAAUACCGGGUGGCGACCGGCGCACGGGUGAGUAACGCGUAUGCAACUUACCUAUCAGAGGGGGAUAACCCGGCGAAAGUCGGACUAAUACCGCAUGAAGCAGGGGCCCCGCAUGGGGAUAUUUGCUAAAGAUUCAUCGCUGAUAGAUAGGCAUGCGUUCCAUUAGGCAGUUGGCGGGGUAACGGCCCACCAAACCGACGAUGGAUAGGGGUUCUGAGAGGAAGGUCCCCCACAUUGGUACUGAGACACGGACCAAACUCCUACGGGAGGCAGCAGUGAGGAAUAUUGGUCAAUGGCCGAGAGGCUGAACCAGCCAAGUCGCGUGAGGGAUGAAGGUUCUAUGGAUCGUAAACCUCUUUUAUAAGGGAAUAAAGUGCGGGACGUGUCCCGUUUUGUAUGUACCUUAUGAAUAAGGAUCGGCUAACUCCGUGCCAGCAGCCGCGGUAAUACGGAGGAUCCGAGCGUUAUCCGGAUUUAUUGGGUUUAAAGGGUGCGUAGGCGGCCUUUUAAGUCAGCGGUGAAAGUCUGUGGCUCAACCAUAGAAUUGCCGUUGAAACUGGGGGGCUUGAGUAUGUUUGAGGCAGGCGGAAUGCGUGGUGUAGCGGUGAAAUGCAUAGAUAUCACGCAGAACCCCGAUUGCGAAGGCAGCCUGCCAAGCCAUGACUGACGCUGAUGCACGAAAGCGUGGGGAUCAAACAGGAUUAGAUACCCUGGUAGUCCACGCAGUAAACGAUGAUCACUAGCUGUUUGCGAUACACUGUAAGCGGCACAGCGAAAGCGUUAAGUGAUCCACCUGGGGAGUACGCCGGCAACGGUGAAACUCAAAGGAAUUGACGGGGGCCCGCACAAGCGGAGGAACAUGUGGUUUAAUUCGAUGAUACGCGAGGAACCUUACCCGGGUUUGAACGCAUUCGGACCGAGGUGGAAACACCUUUUCUAGCAAUAGCCGUUUGCGAGGUGCUGCAUGGUUGUCGUCAGCUCGUGCCGUGAGGUGUCGGCUUAAGUGCCAUAACGAGCGCAACCCUUGCCACUAGUUACUAACAGGUAAAGCUGAGGACUCUGGUGGGACUGCCAGCGUAAGCUGCGAGGAAGGCGGGGAUGACGUCAAAUCAGCACGGCCCUUACAUCCGGGGCGACACACGUGUUACAAUGGCGUGGACAAAGGGAAGCCACCUGGCGACAGGGAGCGAAUCCCCAAACCACGUCUCAGUUCGGAUCGGAGUCUGCAACCCGACUCCGUGAAGCUGGAUUCGCUAGUAAUCGCGCAUCAGCCAUGGCGCGGUGAAUACGUUCCCGGGCCUUGUACACACCGCCCGUCAAGCCAUGGGAGCCGGGGGUACCUGAAGUCCGUAACCGCGAGGAUCGGCCUAGGGUAAAACUGGUGACUGGGGCUAAGUCGUAACAAGGUAGCCGUACCGGAAGGUGCGGCUG
rnacentral:rRNA from 1 species